GGGGGGACCGAGAAAGUGUAACAGUGCGAGUGAGCGAGAGAGAGGGGGGAAAGGACAGGACGAAAAAGAAAGAGCGGAGCGCCCAGCACAGCCAGAAGAGAAAUGCAAAAGAUGCAGAAUUGCAUAAGAUGCAGCAGAGCCCUGAGCCUUUCACUAACCUGGUAAUGCAUGUGGGAGGAGCCUAUAUUUUGGAAUCA